CAGCCGUAAACAAUGUGCGUUAGGUGUGUCGGUAACCACGCGUUACUGAUGCGCCGAAGAGAAAUCGUGAAACGCACCACCUGGGAAGUACGGUCGCAAGGCUGAAACUUAAAGGAAUUGGCGGGGGAGCACCACAACAGGUGGAGCCUGCGGUUUAAUUGGAUUCAACGCCGGACAUCUCACCGGAUAAGACAGCUGAAUGAUUGUCAAUCUGAAGGUUUUACAUGACUAGCUGAGAGGAGGUGCAUGGC
rnacentral:rRNA from 1 species